CGGUGGCCUAAUGGAUAAGGCAUUGGCCUCCUAAGCCAGGGAUUGUGGGUUCGAGUCCCACCCGGGGUAAAGAAAGGCCGAAUUUUAGUGUUCCUUAUCGGGCAGAAGAGUUAGAAUGCGGUAUACUCCAGUGGAGGUGCGGAGUUUCCGAAGGGUUACCAAAAAGGCUCUAAAUCAGAAACCUCUACCUGUUUUCAAGGAAGACGAGCACAAUUUCACGUUACAGAAAAAAGGAGCCGAA
rnacentral:tRNA from 1 species